AGUGAACGCUGGCGGUAGGCCUAACACAUGCAAGUCGAACGGCAGCACAGUAAGAGCUUGCUCUUACGGGUGGCGAGUGGCGGACGGGUGAGGAAUACAUCGGAAUCUACUUUUUCGUGGGGGAUAACGUAGGGAAACUUACGUUAAUACCGCAUACGACCUACGGGUGAAAGCAGGGGAUCUUCGGACCUUGCGCGAUUGAAUGAGCCGAUGUCGGAUUAGCUAGUUGGCGGGGUAAAGGCCCACCAAGGCGACGAUCCGUAGCUGGUCUGAGAGGAUGAUCAGCCACACUGGAACUGAGACACGGUCCAGACUCCUACGGGAGGCAGCAGUGGGGAAUAUUGGACAAUGGGCGCAAGCCUGAUCCAGCCAUACCGCGUGGGUGAAGAAGGCCUUCGGGUUGUAAAGCCCUUUUGGUGGGAAAGAAAAGCAGCAGGUUAAUACCCCGCUGUUCUGACGGUACCCAAAGAAUAAGCACCGGCUAACUUCGUG
rnacentral:rRNA from 1 species